UACGUAGGUGGCAAGCGUUGUCCGGAUUUACUGGGCGUAAAGAGCGCGCAGGCGGUCUUGUAAGUCGAAUGUGAAAGCCCCUGGCUCAACCGGGGAGGGUCAUUCGAUACUGCUCGACUCGAAGGCAGGAGAGGGAAGCGGAAUUCCCGGUGUAGUGGUGAAAUGCGUAGAUAUCAGGAGGAACACCAGCGGUGUAGACGGCUUUCUGGACCAUUGCUGACGCUGAGACACGAAAGCGUGGGUAGCAAACAGG
rnacentral:rRNA from 1 species